CUUCCUGUCACUCCGAUGUAUUCUCUUUCUUGUCCUGUGUCUUUGUCCUCCAAUGGUAUGGUGUAUACACCAGCUUUCUCCAUGUCCUUUAACGUAUCUUUGCUAUUUCUCAAGCAUGUGAACACCGUGGAACUUCUCGUAGUGGCAAUCUUUUUAUUUGUUAGUUUUGCUGCUUUCUUAACUGCUGGUAGGUUGGCCAGGUGGUAUGGCAUUGGAGUGUAAAGGUUCCCUGGGUUUUCAUGGGUGCCUGUGCUGUCUAUGGGUGUCUCGUUGUCGAUGGCUGGGGUUGUUCGUGCUUUUUCUGCGGCGGCUUCGGUCCUCUGCUUUAUAGCGUAUAUGGGACCUUUGGUAUACCCGU
rnacentral:lncRNA from 1 species